rnacentral:rRNA from 1 species
GACGAACGCUGGCGGCGUGCUUAACACAUGCAAGUCGAACGGAAAGGCUCUGCUUUUGUGGGGUGCUCGAGUGGCGAACGGGUGAGUAACACGUGCGUAACCUGCCCUUGACUUUGGGAUAACUUCAGGAAACUGGGGCUAAUACCGGAUAGGAGCUCCUGCUGCAUGGUGGGGGUUGGAAAGUUUCGGCGGUUGGGGAUGGACUCGCGGGUUAUCAGCUUGUUGGUGGGGUAGUGGCUUACCAAGGCUUUGACGGGUAGCCGGCCUGAGAGGGUGACCGGCCACAUUGGGACUGAGAUACGCCCCAGACUCCUACGGGAGACAGCAGUGGGGAAUAUUGCACAAUGGGCGGAAGCCGGAUGCAGCAACGCCGCGUGCGGGAUGACGGCCUUCGGGUUGUAAACCGCUUUCGCCUGUGACGAAGCGUGAGUGACGGUAAUGGGUAAAGAAGCACCGGCUAACUACGUG